rnacentral:rRNA from 1 species
AUCAUGGCUCAGAUUGAACGCUGGCGGCAUGCCUUACACAUGCAAGUCGAACGGUAACAGGGAGCUUGCUCCGCUGACGAGUGGCGAACGGGUGAGUAAUACAUCGGAACGUGCCCAGUAAUGGGGGAUAGCUCGGCGAAAGCCGGAUUAAUACCGCAUACGCCCUGAGGGGGAAAGUGGGGGACCGCAAGGCCUCACGUUAUUGGAGCGGCCGAUGGCUGAUUAGCUAGUUGGUAGGGUAAAGGCCUACCAAGGCGACGAUCAGUAGCUGGUCUGAGAGGACGAUCAGCCACACUGGGACUGAGACACGGCCCAGACUCCUACGGGAGGCAGCAGUGGGGAAUUUUGGACAAUGGGGGAAACCCUGAUCCAGCAAUGCCGCGUGUGCGAAGAAGGCCUUCGGGUUGUAAAGCACUUUUGUCAGGGAAGAAAUCCUUUGGGCUAAUACCCUAGGGGGAUGACGGUACCUGAAGAAUAAGCACCGGCUAACUACGUGCC